CCCGAUCGCAGAUUACGAUCUUCCCAGCAACAGUGGUAGGGUUUAAGGAUCCGUCGAGACAGAGGGAAGACGAAUACCCAUCUCCGCCUCCGCCGCUGGCUCCGGCGUAGAUCAGUGGGUAGAGGCGGCCGGGGGUGAGAGCAGGUCCGCCGUAAAGGCUCAUCCCGGUGACGAUGUGACCAUUUCCGAGCUUGACAUCAGCCGGGAAAGCCCGAUCCAUGGAACCAGCACCGACCGUGGUGACCCUGGCGAGCUUUCUGUCACCAACAUUGCCCCCUGGGUCACCACGGUCGGU
rnacentral:misc_RNA from 1 species